UUCCGGUUGAUCCCGCCGGACCUGACUGCUAUCGGAUUGAUACUAAGCCAUGCGAGUCAUUGUAGCAAUAGAAGGCAGACGGCUCAGUAACGCGUAGUCAACCUAACCUAUGGACGGGAAUAACCUCGGGAAACUGAGAAUAAUGCCCGAUAGAACACUAUACCUGGAAUGGUUUGUGUUCCAAAUGAUUUAUCGCCGUAGGAUGGGACUGCGGCCUAUCAGUUUGUUGGUGAGGUAAUGGCCCACCAAGACUAUUACAGGUACGGGCUCUGAGAGGAGUAGCCCGGAGAUGGGUACUGAGACACGGACCCAGGCCCUAUGGGGCGCAGCAGGCGAGAAAACUUUGCAAUGUGCGAAAGCACGACAAGGUUAAUCCGAGUGAUUUGUGCUAAACGAAUCUUUUGUUAGUCCUAGAAACACUAACGAAUAAGGGGUGGGCAAGUUCUGGUGUCAGCCGCCGCGGUAAAACCAGCACCUCAAGUGGUCAGGAUGAUUAUUGGGCCUAAAGCAUCCGUAGCCGGCUCUGUAAGUUUUCGGUUAAAUCUGUACGCUUAACGUACAGGCUGCCGGGAAUACUGCAGAGCUAGGGAGUGGGAGAGGUAGACGGUACUCGGUAGGAAGGGGUAAAAUCCUUUGAUCUAUUGAUGACCACCUGUGGCGAAGGCGGUCUACCAGAACACGUCCGACGGUGAGGGAUGAAAGCUGGGGGAGCAAACCGGAUUAGAUACCCGGGUAGUCCCAGCUGUAAACUAUGCAAACUCAGUGAUGCAUUGACUUGUGGUCAAUGCAGUGCUGCAGGGAAGCCGUUAAGUUUGCCGCCUGGGAAGUACGUACGCAAGUAUGAAACUUAAAGGAAUUGGCGGGGGAGCACCACAAGGGGUGAAGCCUGCGGUUCAAUUGGAUUCAACGCCGGA
rnacentral:rRNA from 1 species